AUUGAACUGCCCCAAGUGUCCUACAUUACAUCACCAUAUCCAAAUUUUGUAUUAGCAUGUGACAAUUUGCUUCAUGUGCUAAGAUGCAACGAGUGCUGAUCCAUUGGUUAGAUGCUAUUAUUGAUUACUUGAAAUUGGUUCAAGGAUCUUGAUUUGGUUAUAGAGUUGGACGCUCCUCGAGAGUUAUGGACUAUGCAUAAAUUAUACCCAUUCCAACUAAAUUGAGAGAGGGAGCAUCGCGUCCAAGGGGCAUGUCACCAUUUAUGUUUGAUGCACUAUAUGAGAGGUUGACCUGUUUCUGUGACAAACCUAGCUGUGGCCCUUGAUUCAAUAUACCCAGGAGAUCUUUGAUUGGUUGUGCAUGUUCUUGUGGUUAGCAUGGGCCUCCCAAGUCAAUAACUAUCAAAGACCUCUCAUUGGUUAAGUCUAUGAAUAUGGGCUCUUAAAUAAGGUGUAGACUACAUGAUAUACAUCAUGUGCUCAAAUCUUUCAAGUUUAAACUUUUAGGAUAAUUGGUUCACCAACAUUGUAUCAGAGCCUCAUUUGGUGGGAGGUCAUGUCUUCGAACCUCAUGACAUAUUUAUUUCCUUGAUUUAUUAAGCCCAAAUGAGGCUACUUUAUUUCCCUAGUUUAUUAAGCUCACAUGUAAGCCCGAAGUGUAAGCCUAAUGGAGGCCCCACUUAAAGGAGGGUGUUAAGAGUGCAUGAUAUACAUUGUGGGCCUAUUACAAACUUAUGCUUUUAGGAUAAUUGGUUGUUCAACAUAAAGGAUUGUAGAGGGCUCAUUGAAGAAGGAUUUUUGUCUAUCUAAAGAGUGCUCUUCAGCCAUCUUGAGUCCUUGAGAUUUCCUGUACAAGCUUAAGCCGUCCUUGGGGCACUAUCAUCUUUCUCCAUCUGCUCUCUUUUUAGCCCUUUUUGCUCUCCUCUCAAACGUUUUAUAACUCACCAUUCCCAUGGUUACUUCAGAC
rnacentral:lncRNA from 1 species